rnacentral:lncRNA from 1 species
UAUCUCGCCAUAUUUUUUUUCAGUCUCUCUUUUUAAAAUAUACUUAUAAUCUUUCUUUUUUUUUAGUUUCAAUUUUUUUUUCAAUUAAAAAGGGCAUUUCUACUUUGUGUAAAAAUUUUGCUUUCUAAGUUAUUUCCUUAGGAUAGAAUUUCUCAACGUGAAUAUUAUGUUAAAGAAUGUAAAUUUAAAUAUUAUUAAUUGUAUUACUGAAUUAUUUCACUUUGUCUUCUAAUUAGCAUCAUGUUGGCACCCAAAUUUCUGCAACCUUUGAGGCACUGGAUAAUCAUGCUACCCAUUAAACAGCAGUAUGAUAAAUUUCUGCUAUUUUGAUGGAAAAUUUCUCAUUUCAAAAAUAUGUUUUUAGCUGGGGAUGUAGCUCAGGGGUAAAGCACUUACUAGCAUGUGUAAGGACUUGGGUUCAAUCCCCAGUCCUGGCAAAGUAAGAAUAAAAGUGUAUCUUUCUUUGAAAACUAAUAAGAAUUAAUAUCUUUCCACAGGGGGCUGGGGAUGUGGCUCAAGCGGUAGCGCGCUUGCCUGGCAUGCGUGCGGCCCGGGUUCGAUCCUCAGCACCACAUACAAAUAAAGAUGUUGUGUCCACCGAUAACUAAAAAAUAAAUAUAAAAAAAAAAAAAAAAAAUCUUUCCACAUUUGAUUAGUUACUUAUUUUUUGGUUGACAUAUCUCAUCAUAUUCUCCUUUUUAUACACUUUUAAGUGAUCCAGCUUCUUAUCUCUGGCUUUAAAUAGCAUAAUAUUAGACAUGGGGAAUGGCAAAGAGUGAAAAGUAGAAUACAAGAAAAUCCAUAAUUGUAAGAGUAAUAGCACAUGAAUUGAUGAUGAAAAUCUGCCUUUGCACAUCAAUCCACCCUGUGGUAAGGAACUGAAAAAUUAAGGGCUUCAUAACCAAGUAGCUAUUCCAUAGUGCUAAUGAUGGUGGUCCUAAGUUCUUGUGAACUUAUUCCUUAUAAGAAUAAUGGAAAAGAAUAAAGUUGCUUUUUGUAUUUGUUACCUACAAAUGUAUCUUUCAUUAUUAUUUAUACACAAAAAAAUAUACAGGAGAAUUAUUG